UCUCCGGCAGGAGAAUAGGGAAAGAGGUGCAAAUCCUCUGCGGUCCCGCCGCUGUAAGGGAAGAGCGCGCUAUCGAAUACGUCACUGAACCGGAAGGUUCGGGAAGACCGACUGCGUGCAAGGACGCCCAAGCCAGAAUACCUGCCUUUUGGGAU
rnacentral:ncRNA from 1 species